rnacentral:rRNA from 1 species
UACGUAGGGGGCAAGCGUUGUCCGGAUUUAUUGGGCGUAAAGAGCGUGUAGGCGGCCAGGUAGGUCUGCUGUGAAAACUCGAGGCUUAACCUCGAGAUGUCGGCGGAAACUAUUCGGCUUGAGUGCGGUAGGGGAGACUGGAAUUCCUGGUGUAGCGGUGAAAUGCGCAGAUAUCAGGAGGAACACCGGUGGCGAAGGCGGGUCUCUGGGCCGUAACUGACGCUGAGGAGCGAAAGCGUGGGGAGCGAACAGG